UCACAGCAUGCACUGUUACUAAAAAGACGAUGCGUCCUCCUGGACCUGAGAUCUGUGUGAUCGUGGGAAAGCGACGAAAAACGAACAAAGGAACAGUAAAUGGAGUAACUUGGCUAGAAUAUGGCAGUAACUACAAGGCAUGUUCUGCUCUGGCACGAAGGUAACCACCACUCAUACCUCUCCAGCCCUGUGAAUACGUCAAUUGACUAAGCAGAUUCCUUGAGGAUAAAGUAGGCUCCUGGGGACCUUGCUUGUUGGGCUACUUGCUUUGUGGAUGUUAAACAGAUAAUUCUCAUGAGUUUGAGUGACGUCUGAUCUACCAGUAUUCCCCCUACUCUGAUUAGAAAUGACUUGACCAUGCCAAAAAGAAUAAAAGACAGCUCUGAUACAAA
rnacentral:lncRNA from 1 species